UUUUUGUUACAUAGUAUUGUGGUUGUGAAGACACUCAAUUGAAAUUUUUACUGAAUCUUUUCUAGGACUAAUUUCAUGUCUUAUGAACUAGCAGAGAAAUUUUCCCUUAGGGUAUGCCAGAAGAGGAGCAAGUAGUUUUGAUAAUGAAAUGAGACCUUAAAGAAAUAUUUCUAGAGCAGCUAUAAUAAUUUACAUAAGAAAUGAAUUGAGAUGGCCGGAGAAGAGAAUUGUUUUUCCUCUUUGAAUAUCAGUGUUUUGGGUAAUAAUGGCAGCAUUAACCUAAGAGACCAUUCUAAUUUGCCGUUUUUUCUUGUACAUUAUCAGGAGCUAUCUUUUUAAAUCUGUCUUGUGAUCAAAAUAAUGGAAAUGUGAUUUUUAUUUUCAUGAUAGGAGAUGGAAUAAACUGAGACUGCAGGACAAAGAGAGACGUCUGAAGCUGGAGGACGAUUCUGAGGAAAGUGAUGCUGAAUUUGACGAAGGUUUUAAAGUGCCAGGUUUUCUGUUCAAAAAGCUUUUUAAGUACCAGCAGACAGGUGUUAGGUGGCUGUGGGAAUUG
rnacentral:sRNA from 1 species